CAAAGAUUUGGUCCUAACCUUACUGUUAUUUUUUGCUAAACUUACACAUGCAAGUAUCAGCAUACCAGUGAAAACACCCUAACAGUUCCCACCAGACAAAAGGAGUUGAUAUCAGGCACACCACGAUAGCCCAAAACAUCUAGCUCUCUGCCACACCCCCAAGGGCACCUCAGCAGUGAUAAAAAUUAAGCAAUAAGCGCAAGCUUGACUUAGUUCUAUAGCAAAGAGGGUUAGCCAACCUUGUGCCAGCCGCCGCGGUUAUACAAGGAACCCAAACUAACAAAAAACCGGCGUAAAAUGUGACUAAAACCACUAUCUAAAAAAUUAAGGAGAACCCCACACUCAACUGUUAUACGUAAAAGUACACAACUACCCCUAUAUGAAAAUAACCUUAAUUCAACAGAACUAUUUGAACUCACGAUCGCUAAGACACAAACUGGGAUUAGAUACCCCACUAUGCUCAGCUAUAAACCCAGAUAUUUAACACACAAAAAUAUCCGCCAGAGAACUACGAGCAAAACGCUUAAAACUCUAAAGACUUGACGGUACCUUAAACCCCCCUAGAGGAGCCUGUUCUAUAAUCGAUAAUCCACGAUCUACCUCACCAUCCCUUGCCAGUACCGCCUAUAUACCGCCGUCACCAGCCUACCCUAUGAAGGACAUAAAAGUAAGCAAAACAACACUACAGCUAACAAGUCAGGUCAAGGUGUAGCUUACCGAGAUGGAAGAAAUGGGCUACAUUUUCUAAACUAGAAAUUAUUUUACGGAAAGAACUAUGAAAUAAGUCUUAUAAGUAGGAUUUAGCAGUAAAUAAGGAUCAGAACGCCCUAUUUAAGCCGGCCCUAAGGUACGCACACACCGCCCGUCACCCUCCUCAAACAACCACCACCCAUAAAUAAACCACAAUAAACAAAUGAGACGAGGUAAGUCGUAACAAGGUAAGUAUACCGGAAGGUGUACUUGGAACACU
rnacentral:ncRNA from 1 species